GACGAACGCUGGCGGCGUGCCUAAUACAUGCAAGUCGAGCGGACCGGAUUGGGGCUUGCCUUGAUUCGGUCAGCGGCGGACGGGUGAGUAACACGUGGGCAACCUGCCCGCAAGACCGGGAUAACUCCGGGAAACCGGCGCUAAUACCGGACAACACCGAAGACCGCAUGGUCUUCGGUUGAAAGGCGGCCUUUGGGCUGUCACUUGCGGAUGGGCCCGCGGCGCAUUAGCUAGUUGGUGAGGUAAAGGCUCACCAAGGCGACGAUGCGUAGCCGGCCUGAGAGGGUGACCGGCCACACUGGGACUGAGACACGGCCCAGACUCCUACGGGAGGCAGCAGUAGGGAAUCUUCCGCAAUGGGCGAAAGCCUGACGGAGCGACGCCGCGUGAGCGAAGAAGGCCUUCGGGUCGUAAAGCUCUGUUGUGAGGGACGAAGGAACGCCGUUCGAAGAGGGCGGCGCGGUGACGGUACCUCACGAGAAAGCCCCGGCUAACAACGUGCCAGCCGCCGCCGUAA
rnacentral:rRNA from 1 species